UACUCUCUACACCUCUCUGUGUUUUUAACCUUAUGUCCUCCAUUUAUCUUUAAGCAAAUAUGAGAAGUUUGCUGCCAGCACUUCUGUUUGCACUUCACAGACAAUAAUCACCUGGAUUACUUUUGAUUCAGAAGAAAAUCUUGAGUAUAAACCCAACCUUAUGAUUUCUAAAUGGAUUUAUGGAUGUUACCCGCGAUGGACAUCACAGAUCCUCUCACCUCUGGACAAACAAAUCCCAUGAAAAGACCACAACUAAUAUUAGGCUUGCUGAAGAUGAACUGCACCUCGCCUGGAAAGUAGACGAGAUCAGGCGGCAGCAGCAGGGGAAGGUGACAAAAAGCUGCAGUCAAGUUGGACGGGUUCCAGCAGCCUUCAAAGAAUAAACAGGACAGGACAGGUCACCCUACUUUAAGCUCUUUAAUCAAAAAAGAGUCAUCUCCUGUGUGUCCUUUUCAAAAAUGGAGGACUUUCUUUCAGAGCUGCAACUGGAAAAAGUCUUGUAAAAACUGUGUUAAAAUAAA